rnacentral:rRNA from 1 species
UCUACGGGUGGCAGCAGUGGGGAAUAUUGCACAAUGGGGGAAACCCUGAUGCAGCAACGCCGCGUGAGUGAAGAAGUAUUUCGGUAUGUAAAGCUCUAUCAGCAGGGAAGAAGAUGACUGUACCUAAAUAAGAAGCCCAGGCUAACUACGUUCCAGAAGCCGCGGUAAUACGUAGGGGGCAAGCGUUAUCCGGAUUUACUGGGUGUAAAGGGAGCGCAGACGGCAGUGCAAGUCUGGCGUGAAAGCCCGGGGCGAAACCCCGGAACUGCUCUGGACACUGUGCGUCUAGAGUACUGGAGGGGCAGGCGGAAUGCCUAGUGUAGCGGUGAAAUGCGUAGAUAUUAGGAGGAACACCAGUGGCGAAGGCGGCCUGCUGGACAGUAACUGACGUUGAGGCUCGAAAGCGUGGGGAGCAAACAGGAUUAGAUACCCCGGUAGUC